ensembl:lncRNA
CUCUACCGACGGAGAAAAUUUGUCUGCAGGCUCAACAUCUCAGUGAAGGUGGGCUAAUCUUGACUGAUACAUCAGAUACUGAGGUCGAUGCAGACAUAUUUGAUGAGUCAGAAAAAGUCACAGGUCCAAAAAUUCAAGAUUGAUAAUUGGCAGUACAGUAACAGAUGAACCCCAGACAUUGGUGUUCCCAGACCAUCAAGCAUCACAGCCCUCAUUGCUGCCGACCUAGCAUCACCAGCUUCCUCCAUUUCAUCAGAUUUCAAUAUUAUCCUCUCAUUCACAAAUAACAGAAAAAGGGGCCUGGCAGAGCUGGAUCCCAAUGAAGGACAGAAGGUUGCUACUGUUCUCAG